GUCUGAAGCUUGUCCCUGUUACAAGUCUUCAAUGGUGAAAACAUAGAGACUUAAGACUGAAAAGUGCCUGGAUCAAGGUCACACUGCAGCAUGUAUAAGAACCAAAAUUAAAAUCUAGGCUCCACAUGCUAACCUGCAUUACAGUAACCUCCACUAGAGUUGUUAAACUGAGAGUUAGAGAGUGCGGUGUUACACGUGGUGACGCAAGCCAGACUGCCUAGCUUCAGAUCCAGGUUCAUCAAUUACAGAAGAAGUAAGUUUCAAGCAUGACAGAAAAUACGGAUUGAAAAAAAGAAAGCCUUUUGCUCAACUGUGAAAAUACAAAAUGAAUCAGUGAACUUUGUGUAAUAAUUCAGUGAACUUGGUGUGUAAUUCAGUCAACAACUUGC